UAAAACAGAAAGUGAAAUUACAUGGAGGG
rnacentral:piRNA from 1 species